GUGAAUCAUCGAAUCUUUGAACGCAAAUUGCACUCCUCGGUUUUCCGGGAGAGAUUGCCUGUUUGAGGGCCAGCCUAACUAAAAUCGGCUUAGUAGUUUGCUGUGUUUUUCACGGUAAUGUUGGUCGGCAUUUGGUUCAUCUUAAACCGAAGGGUUUUUAAGCGACUUAACAUUUUCUUACGAUCUGCCGAAUGUUUCUACGAUUUCCUUGCACGUUCAAGUUAUCGAUAUUAGACGUCACUGUAG
rnacentral:misc_RNA from 1 species